UGGAUGUAAUGAGUCUUUCUGGACUCAAAUGGAAGUAUUCUACUAUGAGACUUGACACCCUUCACUUAUUCAUAAUACUUUCCCAUUGUCAGACACCCCCAUCCCCACCGCUUCCAGUCCGGGUCACUGUUCCAUCAUCAUGGCAGUCUCUCCCCCUCUCUCAGGCUGAUCUGGGGCUUCUCUUCACCAAUUCCAGCCCCUUCACCUCCACCCAGUCCCUGUUGCUCAUGCCUUGAUCUGGAACGGCCUCCAAACCGCUUCUCCGUGCUACAUAUGGUUCCUAUACCAUCACACAGGUGAUGUCUGAACCCAUUCCACCCCUGACUCCAUCUCUCACUGCAUCACUCCUUUCUAAAACCAUCGUGAAAGAGAUAGAGGGUGACAGAGGAGAGCAGUUUAAGGUGCGAGUGCUGUUUCAUAUGAGGGGUGAUGUUAACAGAGGAACCUGUGUUACUCUCCAUGCUUUCAAACAGACAGAAGAACAGAAAGCUUCCUGCUUCACUCAGCCACCUUUUGGGUUGUGUGUGGUCACUCUGACACUUUCAAACGACUGGUUUGAGCCUAUUCAGAACAUCAAGGCAAACCUGGACCAGAUUUUCAAGCAACGUCACCUGAGCAGAAACCGCUCUC